rnacentral:rRNA from 1 species
CCUACGGGUGGCAGCAGUGGGGAAUAUUGCACAAUGGGCGCAAGCCUGAUGCAGCCAUGCCGCGUGUGUGAAGAAGGCCUUCGGGUUGUAAAGCACUUUCAGCGGGGAGGAAGGCGGUGAGGUUAAUAACCUCAUCGAUUGACGUUACCCGCAGAAGAAGCACCGGCUAACUCCGUGCCAGCAGCCGCGGUAAUACGGAGGGUGCAAGCGUUAAUCGGAAUUACUGGGCGUAAAGCGCACGCAGGCGGUCUGUCAAGUCGGAUGUGAAAUCCCCGGGCUCAACCUGGGAACUGCAUUCGAAACGGGCAGGCUAGAGUCUUGUAGAGGGGGGUAGAAUUCCAGGUGUAGCGGUGAAAUGCGUAGAGAUCUGGAGGAAUACCGGUGGCGAAGGCGGCCCCCUGGACAAAGACUGACGCUCAGGUGCGAAAGCGUGGGGAGCAAACAGGAUUAGAUACCCUUGUAGUC